CCUAUAAUACAGGGGUCCCGCAUGGGAAUAUUUGUUAAAGAUUCAUCGGUUUGUAGAUGAGCAUGCGUUCCAUUAGCUAGUUGGUGAGGUAACGGCCCACCAAGGCAACGAUGGAUAGGGGAACUGAGAGGUUUAUCCCCCACACUGGUACUGAGACACGGACCAGACUCCUACGGGAGGCAGCAGUGAGGAAUAUUGGUCAAUGGACGCAAGUCUGAACCAGCCACGUCGCGUGAAGGAAGACGGCCCUACGGGUUGUAAACUUCUUUUGUAAGGGAAUAAAGUGAGUCACGAGUGACUUUUUGCAUGUACCUUACGAAUAAGGAUCGGCUAACUCCGUGCCAGCAGCCGCGGUAAUACGGAGGAUCCGAGCGUUAUCCGGAUUUAUUGGGUUUAAAGGGUGCGCAGGCGGGAGAUUAAGUCGGCGGUGAAAUUUUGCAGCUCAACUGUAAAAGUGCCAUCGAUACUGGUUUUCUUGAGUGUGGAUGAAGUAGGCGGAAUUUGUGGUGUAGCGGUGAAAUGCAUAGAUAUCACGAGGAACACCGAUUGCGCAGGCAGCUUACUAAACCAUAACUGACGCUCAGGCACGAAGGCGUGGGGAUCAAACAGGAUUAGAUACCCUGGUAGUCCACGCAGUAAACGAUGAUUACUGGCUGUUUGCGAUAUACAGUAAGCGGCUGAGCGAAAGCGUUAAGUAAUCCACCUGGGGAGUACGUUCGCAAGAAUGAAACUCAAAGGAAUUGACGG
rnacentral:rRNA from 1 species